rnacentral:lncRNA from 1 species
AAGCUCCAGUUAAAGACAGCAAGACAAACUAACAUCAGAAAUAAACAGACUGGGAGAUGCAAGGUCAAGAACAUAACCAACAGAAAUGAAGACUACUUGGCCUCAUCAGUACCCAGUUCUCCCACCACAGCAAGUUUUGGAUAACCCCGACACACUGGGAAAGCAAGAUUCGGAUUUAAAAACACAUUUCAUGAUGACAGUAGAGGACUUUAUUAAGGACAUAAAUAAUUCCCUUAAAAAAUACAGGACAGCAGAGGUAAACAAGUAAAAGCCCUUACAGAGGAAGCACAAAAAUCCCUUACAGUAUUACUGGGAAACACAACCAAACAGGUGAAGGAAUUGAAAAAAAA